rnacentral:lncRNA from 1 species
UUAUUUUUCGUUUACAAAAACGCAUUUUCGCUUUUUCUUGUAAAAAGCGAAACGAUGGGAGCCAAUAAGUGUGCUCUCAUACCCUACAAAUUAUUCCAUCUUUUGAAUCAUAACAAUACUUAAACUUUGUUAAGAAUCGCUAGUCAAAAAAUCAAACUGAAUUUAAAUGCGGAUAUUAAAUUACGAAAAUUAAAUGCAUAAAUUAAAACGAAAGAGACUAGGUGCCAAAGUAAACUUUAUGUUUUAUUAAGUAGAAAUGAUUUAUAUAACUUGUUUCCAAGCUAACAUAAUUCACAAGUGAACCAAAGAUCUUUCCUCUAAAUCUAGUUCAUCUCUCACAAAUUCUCUCAACUAAACUUAGGAGAAAAAUCCUCACCAGCUCUCUUAAUUUUUC